AUUGAACGCUGGCGGCAGGCUUAACACAUGCAAGUCGAACGAGUGGCGGACGGGUGAGUAAUGUCUGGGAAACUGCCUGAUGGAGGGGGAUAACUACUGGAAACGGUAGCUAAUACCGCAUACCAUCGGAUGUGCCGCGAUGGGAUUAGCUAGUAUGUGGGGUAAAGGCUCACCUAGGAAACGAUCCCUAGCUGGUCUGUGAGGAUGACCAGGCACACGGGAACUGAACCGCGAUAAAGACUCCUACGGAAGGCAGGAGUGGCGAAUAUUGCACAAGGAGCGCAGGCAUGAUGCAGACAUGCCGAGUAUAUGAAGAAGGCAUGCGAGUUGUAAAGUACUUUCAGCGAGUAGGCGUUACCAGAAGAAGAAGCACCGGCUAACUCCGUGCCAGCAGCCGCGGUAAUAC
rnacentral:rRNA from 1 species